rnacentral:rRNA from 1 species
UACGGGGGGGGCAAGCGUUGUUCGGAAUUACUGGGCGUAGAGGGCUCGUAGGCGGCCAACUAAGUCGGAUGUGAAAUCCCCAGGCUUAACCUGGGAACUGCAUCCGAUACUGGAUGGCUUGAAUCCGGGAGAGGGAUGCGGAAUUCCAGGUGUAGCGGUGAAAUGCGUAGAUAUCUGGAGGAACACCGGUGGCGAAGGCGGCAUCCUGGACCGGUAUUGACGCUGAGGAGCGAAAGCCAGGGGAGCGAACAGG